CUUGCUGCAGCCAUCCAUCCUGUGACAGUUCUCUCAUACCGGGUUGAUAUUCAAAUAGAUGAAGAUAAUACUGGCCAUAUGAAGAUAAUACUGGCCAUACCAGUUUCAGUGAUAACUGAUGAUCAGAUAUGCCAUUUAUCCUGUGACAGUUCUCUCAGGCCACGUUCAUAGUCAAAUAGUUAAUAGUUGAAGGGAACACUGGCCGUGCCAGUUCAGUGAUCUCUGCUGCUGGUUAGUUAUUUGCUAAUAUUUAAAAAAAUACU